AUUGAACGCUGGCGGCAGGCUUAACACAUGCAAGUCGAGCGCGCGGCGGACGGGUGAGUAAUGUCUGGGAACCUGCCUGAUGGAGGGGGAUAACUACUGGAACCGGUAGCUAAUACCGCAUACAAUCCGAUGUGCCCAGAUGGGAUUAGCUAGUGGGGGGGGUAAUGGUUAACCUAGGCGACGCUCCCUCGCUGGUCUGAGAGGAUGACAAGCCACACUGGGACUGAGACACGGUCCAGACUCAUACGGGAGGCAGCAGUGGGGAAUAUUGCACAAGGGGCGCAAGCCUGAUGCAGCCAUGCCGCGUGGGUGAAGAAGGCCUUCGGGUUGUAAAGCACUUUCAGCGAGGAGGCGUUACUCGCAGAAGAAGCACCGGCUAACUCCGUGCCAGCAGCCGCGGUAAUAC
rnacentral:rRNA from 1 species